CCUCAUGAAACUCACUGAGAAACAGGGCUGUUUUCUGCUGGAUCUCUCAACCUGAAAAGCCCUUGCUCCCUUUUGAUGUUUUUGGAGGGAAAAGUUUCAGGACUGUGAGACACAAUGAAAAAAAACGGGGAACUGAUUUGUUGUGUUUUGUUUUUAAAGAUUGAAUCCAAAUCAAACAUAUUUUAAUUGACUAAAUGAAGCCUUUUGAUAGCUACAGACCAAGACUUUAUUGUUCAGUUUUUUUUUUUUUAUUUGCAAAAACAAGUAUUUGUUUUGCCAAAACAAACUGCAUCUGGGUUUCGAGAGGAAAGCUGUCUCCUGCCCAGAUCUAGCCGCUCUCUCAACCUGACGGGAAGGUUUUCAUGCCAAGCUGCUCUCUGACAAACAAGCGUCAGCACCAAAUCAAAACUCCAGCUGACUUCAGAGGAGAGGCGCGUACAGCGGGAGACGCGAGUGCUCUCAGUUGAGCGCAGGGUCUCCUCUGCGUUGCGUCAAGCUGUGAUUUUACAAGGGCAGCGAUGUGCCCGGGCUAGUGCAGCACAGCACAGCAAGUUCCCGAGCAGCUGAUCUGUGUCUCUCGCUCUCGAAGAUCUCUUCCUGCAUAAUUUAAGACCUGAGUUAAAUUUCGUAUAUGAGCAAACAGCAGCUCCUUGGUUCACAUUUUCAGUUGUCAGCUGAAGGAGAUUUCACUUCAUGUUUGUUACUGCCGAAGUGAGAUGCUGCAAAGCCGUGGAGCAAAGAGCAAUGCUGCUCCUGCUGCCGCCGCACCGACCUUCAGCUCCAUGAGCUGCCAAGGAGCGAUGCAAGGAGAGCACUUACAAGAAAUGGCUAAACGUGUGCGGACGCCAUCCUCCCGCUGCACCCACCGACCUGCGUGACCACAGGCACCUUUCCAAGGUCUGCACCUGCAAAACGGCACUCACGGCACGUGCAUACUCCAGAGGUCGGCAGCGAGCAGAGCGGAUGUCCGGGUUGCACAGCAUGGUGGUGCUUUAGCUCCUUUUCCAGCGGGACUGCCAUGCGGAUGGCACACGCGCUUGUCUCCACCAGCAAGGCAGAGGCAGCACCGCAGGUCGGAUUGCGCGCGCACAUCCCACCGAUGGAGCCCGGCACGCCGACCCGCUUCGUCGCGUUACCACCACCGGGCCCUGCUGGCUCUCCUGUUCGAACCAGGACCACCACGGCCCCCGGCAGAAGAGGUCGGUUCCCUGCAGCACACAAAGCUCAUGCUGAGUCUCUGACACAGACCAAGCAUCAGCCAGCACGUUCCCAGCUAAGGCAAUAUUGCUGCCAGGCACUUAGAAAGCGAAGAAACCACACCACCUUGCUGUGGAGAAGAGGAGAGAUGAAGCUGCGUCAGCCACAGCCGGAUGCCCUCGUUCCUCGUAGCACUUGCCGAGGAGGCAGGUCUCGCUCACCACGCCGGGUACCGUAGGUACGCUGCGCUCUAACUCCUUGUCCUGAAACCUCUGAAGCUGAAUCAUGAUCCCCACUCUCGCUGUUCAUCUGCAGAUGCCCUGAACUCAUUACCACCACGUCGACGAGGACUUCCCCUCCCUCCCACUCCCACUUAAAGUAUUUCCCAGUAGAUUUUCCUAUUUUGUGCUCGAGACACUUCUCACCGGUAAAUGGGGUCGUCUCCCCGCUGCUCUCGGGGUGCGGAAGGUUUGGACGGGAAGCACCACUGCUCUGCUCGCUCCAGCGCGUGGGGAUGUGCGUUAGUGCAGCUGAGCUGUGGCCCCGGCACGCCAGCUGGCCUCCGCUGGGCGUCACAUACUGCACAGUGGCCUCUCGGGGGCCGAGGGAGGGACAGCAGCCCAAGGACUGGAAGAAUUACACACUUUCUAAACAGGACUCUCAUUCCUGGAGCAGGGAAGGACAGCGUUUAAAGAACUCCCUGCACCAUCAGGAACAUGGCCACGUCCAUGACUGGCAUUUGCACUGGUAAUGAGACCAUUUCUAUUGUAAUGAGCUCAUUACUAGUUUUUAUUGCUAUUAUAUUUUGCAUGUUUCACAGACCUGCUUUUUAUUUCCACCUUCGCUUUCUACCUUGGCAACUCUCAGGGCAGUCCCAGUGUCAGAGACUGUCAGCACAGAUGAAUGAUUUAACCCCUGCAGAGAGGCUGAGGAGGGGAGGCUGCUCCUAACCGGUCACAGCGGGGUGGAUGAGAGGAUGGAGUUGUGUCGGAAAACUAAUUUGGUGGGGAGUGCCCAUGCUGUCCCGAAAGCCAGCGACAACAUGGUUUUAUGAACACAUCUCCCAUUCACAAAUGUCUAUACAACACCAGUCCAUUCCUAAUAGGAAGUCUGGCAUAUACAGUAUGCUUUUUGUUAACUGUUUCUUCCAAAUACUGGUUUGGAUCAGAGUUUGUUUCGCUGCCAUUUUGCACUAUUUUGCUUUAAUAAGUUUUGUAUAUGACAAGGCAAAGAAGUCUUGGCUUUCCAGCAAGGCUCAAGUUCCUGGUGUUGCUUAACUAAUAUGAUUGAUUCAACUCCCUUGAGAUCCCUUUUUUCUUUCUUGAGCUUCAAAGGUCUGCACAGUGGGGCAGUCCCCAGAGAUAGUUCUUGCUGGCUUCCAGUGAACCUGUUGGCUUCGGUUGCUUUGGCCAAGCUCCAUCAAAAGUUUGGCUUCAGCUACUUACCAUCACCUUUUCCAGCUGGCCUCUCAGGAGCCACUGCCUCAGCUUUAGCUCUUAGUGAACAGCCAAUACCUCUGUAAAUAACCCUCUACUAACUUUCAGGUUACUUGGCUUCAGUGGUGCAUCACAAGCUGCAGCUCAGGCAGAGGAUCAAAAGGGGCAACUCCACUAAGACCUUGAUGAGGUUUCCAGGAACCUCUGAAGUGGAGUGCGAAUGAAACAUCACGGGGAAUCAGCUGAUGGAAAGGCAUGUUGAUAUGUCAUAUCACUGCCACUAAUACGUGUAACCAUGCCAGCUUCGGCUGGAGCAGAAAAGCCAUUAGGGUUUUAGUUAUGGAGCCAGCUGAGCCUUGCUCUGAACUCGUGCCAUAGGCUGCAAUUCCACUGAUUUGAUUAACAGGGGAUGCACUUAUGGAUUUACAUCCUCUUGCAUGUUAGUGGCCAUAACACCAGCAUGCUUUAACCCCACUAGCCAGAUGAGAGAUGUCCAGUUGGGGACUGGCUAUGUGCCAGACUGGAUUCUUCACCAAAAUAACAUACGAUUGUCUUUGACCAUAAGGAAGGAAGAAGAAUGUUUGUGCUUGCAUCUGACUCCAGAGAAGGAUCUCCCCAAGUGUGACACCUCCAGCCACACUCUUUUUCUUGUCCAUAAAAUUCAGACAUAUUCUGUAAGUCAUAUUCAGAGUCCAAGAACUGCUUAAGAAAAUGAAUUGCUGCCAAAGAACACUAAUGAAAAAAAUACAAGUGUGUGCCCACUUUUUGCUGAUGCUCCCAAGCUACGUUUUGAACCUCAGGUAUGUUAUUUUAAAGAUGUAACUUUCUGGCAGGCUCCUUCUGUCUCACUCAUUUCCUCUGUGUCCUGUGGCUGCUGAGACGUUGUCACUCUUUCAAGCUCAGGGUUAGGGCUGGCCUGUUUUUAAUACUCUAUAGACUUUGGUGGCAUCUGGCAAUACUACUGCCAGCUGUUGCAGAGAAGAUAAAGAAGAAAGCCAGACAUCAGAGUUUAAAAAAAACAUUCAGGGGACUGGGUAUGUUCAAAGACUGAGUCUCACAAACGUUGUAUACUGAAGAAAAAUUUGGAUGCAAAACUUCUGUGUGUUUCAGAUGAACCUUCUGUUCCCUUAUUUGUAUUGCUCACCAAGGGCACAGGGCUUAGAAAUAGCACAAAUGCACAGAGACAGAAUUACAUGCUGUAUCUCCUACAGGAACUGAGAAAUUGUUUGAGUUAACCUCAUUUCCUUUUUCCAGCAUCUUAGAAAUGUCUCUGUGUUGUCAUUCCUUUGUGGCAGUUCAUGCUUCACUGAUAUUUUAUGCUUAAUAAUGUAUGGAGUGAACUGGGACAAUUAGCACAAAUUUCAUUUCUGGCAAGAUCAGCUAUAUACUAUCUGCCUUUGGCUGGAUGCAGCAAGCAGUGUCUUUUCUGCGGGUGUGUGUGGACGCUUCAGAGAUUGUGAUGAAUCACUGCAGGACUCUGGUGAGACACAAACCAGAAGGAGUUUCUUCCUUAGAGAGCUGUGAGCUGAAAUAGCUCCCUUUAAACAAGUCCCAUACAACCAAAAUCCCGGGUCCCAAAGGGAACUCAAAUAGUCCUCCACCUUCACGGAGCUGGUACAAGCUCCAUAAGAAACCUUUUUCCUUUCAGCUACUCUCAGCUCUCACCUCUUCUCCCCAAGACCAGUACCCCUCGGUGGGACUCACAUCAGCUCAUUAGUACCUUGCAAGUCAGUGCUGGAUUUCUACAAUGCACUACCCAGUGCCAGGGUCCUCGUAAGGUAUUCACACAUCUUGUCUCUCACUAGAAGACCUUUUUCUUUUCUUUUUUUUUUUUUUUUGAAAUGUUACCUUAAGUCCCCCAUAGCCCUCUUGGUAACAGCUAAACCACAGAAAACAUACAAGAGAAAUAUAUCCAGGUUGUUAUUUUUCAGCAGCUGGCAAGUUUUUAUAUGAGAUAGCUACACCUAGAACAUCAGUGUUUUGAUCCCGGCUGGAAUCCAGAAGGAUGGGGUGAAAAUGUCAAACACAAUUUUGCAAGCCAUGUGGUGGGUUUGGUAAAAGACACACAAAACCAGGAAAUCCAUACAGAGGACAGCAGGUUAGCGGAUGCUGGUUACGUCCUCCUUUCCACAAUUGCUGUGUGUAUUUAUUACAACUAUUACUAAAAUUAACUGAGUUAUCUAGUCCCUAGGGUUCAAUACCUCUCACAUUGCAACCUACUUGAAAUCUUCUGUGUCACACAGGACACAAGAAUGGUGCAGGGGAUUAAAGUGUCAGGAUUGCCAGCAUACAAAAUAGUCAAGAAUUCCAAUAACUUAAUGACAGUUGAACUUUAUUUUUAGAAUGUGACUGACAGGUGAUGGUGGAGCAGUGCUGUCCAGUUAGCUCCAAUGAACCCAGUAAAAGACCACUGAAGACAGUGACAAAGAUGUCGUCGCUGACUGAAGACAAUAUUCUGGCCCUGUAUGGCAUUUCUGACAUGCAGCAAUCAGAGUGUCAUCUUUUGCUCAUUUUUUUAUGGCUCAUUUCUCUUUUCUCUUGCCUCUGGCUCUUUUGCCUCCGAGCUUUCCUAUGACAUAAGGUGGAUAAAAUGUCAACCCAGGCUAGUUCUGUGAUGGUUCGUAUUGUGCUGGGUUUUUUUUCUUUGAAAGAAUAAAAGCAUUUAGUAGAACUAAGGUACAAUUCAGUGACUGCAUUUGGAGAUAUCCCAAAUACAAAGCUCAGCACCAAUAUUAGUGAGUGCUAAUGGGCACUGUUUGUAAAUGACCAUUGUGAAGAUGAGGGCAAAAUACUAAGUCAAAUGAAGCUGACAAGAACAACCACAUUUUUGCAAACUCAGUGCACCCUUUUCGUACAGUUUGUUUACUUUCCUUUCAUCAUCAGCCAGGGAAUGUUUUGCUUUCUCCUUUAUUCCUCUGAACCACAGUUGUGAUUCAGCUGUCAGAUCAGUUUGCAUUUGGGACAGUAGAAAACUGCUGUCCAUUAAUGGUCACUGGACAGGCCCAACAAGUUAUUAUUUAGUGGAGGAUGGCUUACAGUUUUCAUUCACGGCCUGUGCUAGCCUAAUUAUUGCAAUUCUAAGAGAAGCGGUAGUGUAUCAUAUGGGGUCCUAGCUUACAUUUGUAAGUUUGCUGCCUUUCUGUCAGUCCUCAGCAAUGAAGGGAUAUUGCAGUACAGCAUUUCUCUGGCUUACGUUGCCACCGAUGUCAAAGAAGAGCAUUCGUGAUAGAAAUCUUCAGCAAACUGCUGGCCUCAUCUCAGGCAGGUUAUGUGAUAUCUGCAAUACAUAGAGCACUGAACUGCA